GGUUAAGUUAGAAAGGGCGCACGGUGGAUGCCUUGGCACUAGGAGCCGAUGAAGGACGGGACGAACACCGAUAUGCUUCGGGGAGCUGUAAGCAAGCUUUGAUCCGGAGAUUUCCGAAUGGGGAAACCCACCACUCGUAAUGGAGUGGUAUCCAUAUCUGAAUACAUAGGAUAUGAGAAGGCAGACCCGGGGAACUGAAACAUCUAAGUACCCGGAGGAAGAGAAAGCAAAUGCGAUUCCCUGAGUAGCGGCGAGCGAAACGGGACCAGCCCAAACCAAGAGGCUUGCCUCUUGGGGUUGUAGGACACUCUGUACGGAGUUACAAAGGAACGAGGUAGAUGAAGAGGUCUGGAAAGGCCCGCCAUAGGAGGUAACAGCCCUGUAGUCAAAACU
rnacentral:rRNA from 1 species